rnacentral:lncRNA from 1 species
GGGGGGCAUGAUAGACAUGGUUGCUGUAGUGAGUGAUCAACAGUGGUAUACUGCUGCUAUCUUCUUUUUUAUGUGGAUAUUGGUUGUAUUCUCCGGCUUUUGUUCCUAUCCAGUUCAGGUUUUGCAAUGUAAUUUUGUGUUUAGGGACUAUAGAAGUAUUUAUUUGCACUGCUUGUCUAUGUCCAUCUCUCACUUCCCAUCUCCACGGGAGCAGCGUGGCCUCCUGCUAUAAAGCUGCAUGGCAUCUUCACCCCCUCCGUAUAAAUCUUACUCUUGUUGCUCUUAUAUUUCACAUCUACCUUGUUGUCGGUGUUUAGACUGACAACCUACCCAGGGGUAUCCCGAGGUAGUGGAUUUGCGGUGGGUUUUCGCUGAGAUCAGGAACUCGAAGGUGAAUGCAGAUACACAAUUUGGAUAGGUUUGAGCCGCUGCAUAGUAUAAUACCCUACGUCCUUUGUGGUUUGUAUAACGUUGGGUGUAUUGGAUUGCUUUGGAGGGACUCCUGCCUUAGCUUAUAUAUCCGGUGCUAUAAAAAAAACUAUAUUCCGCAUUGAUACGCUAGCACAAGGCUCACCUCACCCGUCUAAUACCAUGGACUAUCAUCUAGCUCGUGGUGAGCAUUCGCUCGAUCAGGAUGGUGUGGAUGUUAGUUUAUUCAAUGAUUCGUUCCAUCCCUGCAAGAGGACAUCGAUUGCAGCUCAAAGUCAUCAAACUCGGUGUUUCCCACACGAUUUAUUAGCAUAAGGUUUCUUCCUUUCCUCCCCAUCGUCGUGCUUCGGUAUCUCAUCUAUGAUUUCUAAGCUUUGCCGGUCUCUAUGAAACAAAUCGAGUUGUUUCCACUUCAAAAGGAAAAAAGAAAAAUCAUGUGGAGACAACCGAGUCGAUCAACCAAAGAGAAUUCCGUUGACAUGCAUCGUU